rnacentral:rRNA from 1 species
GAUGAACGCUGGCGGCGUGCCUAACACAUGCAAGUCGAGCGAACAGACGAGGAGCUUGGUCCUCGUACGUGAGCGGCGGACGGGUGAGUAACACGUGGGUAACCUACCUAUUACACUGGGAUAACUUCGGGAAACCGGAUCUAAUACCGGAUAGUAUAUUGAACUGCAUUGUUCAAUAGUGAAAGACAUUUUUUUUGUCACUUAUAGACUGAUCCGCUCCGCGUUAGCUAGUUGGUUAGGUAACGGCUUACCAAUCGACCGAUGCGUAGCCUGCCGGAGUGGGUGAUCGGACAGACUGGAUCUGAGAGACGGUCCAGCCUCAUACGGACGGCAGGAGGCGGGAAUCUUCAGCGCUGGGCGAGAGCAAGACGGAUGAACGCAGCGCGAGUGAUGAAGGUCUUCGGAUCGUAAGUCUCUGUUAUUCGGGAAGAACGAAUGUGUAAGUAACUAUGCACGUCUUGACGGUACCUUAUCAGAAAGCCACGGCUAACUACGUG